CACACAAAGAAAACUUUUUCACAUAAUUGUCUUCAUUAAGUGAAAUCAUCAGGGCGGUUGCAGAUGCCAGGGGCUCUCAGAAGGCAGAGGGGGCCUGGCCCAGCGCCCCGCAGCGGCCUGGCCUGCAACGGGAGCGAAGUGGGGCCCGCGGAAGUGGAUCUGAGGAGCAGGAGCCAUCAGACCUCAGGUUUCCUUUUUCCCCGAGAUGGAAACUCAGCAGCUCUCAGAGAGG